rnacentral:piRNA from 1 species
UGGACACUCAGAGUUGAAACUGUGAUCCGAA